AACGAACGCUGGCGGCAGGCCUAACACAUGCAAGUCGAGCGCCCAGCAAUGGGAGCGGCAGACGGGUGAGUAACGCGUGGGAACCUUCCCAAUGGUACGGAAUAGCUCAGGGAAACUUGAGGUAAUACCGUAUACGCCCGAAAGGGGAAAGGAUUUAUCGCCAUUGGAUGGGCCCGCGUAGGAUUAGCUAGUUGGUGAGGUAAUGGCUCACCAAGGCGACGAUCCUUAGCUGGUUUGAGAGAAUGACCAGCCACACUGGGACUGAGACACGGCCCAGACUCCUACGGGAGGCAGCAGUGGGGAAGUCUUGGUACAAUAGGGCGGCAAGCCUGAUCCAGCCAUGCCGCGUGAGUGACGAAGGUCUUCGGAUUGUAAAGCUCUUUUGCCAGGGACGAUAAUGACGGUACCUGGAGAAUAAGCCCCGGCUAACUUCGUGCCAGCAGCCGCGGUAAG
rnacentral:rRNA from 1 species